rnacentral:rRNA from 1 species
UACGGAGGGUGCAAGCGUUAAUCGGAAUUACUGGGCGUAAAGCGCACGCAGGUGGCUGAGUCAGUCGAUUGUGAAAGCCCUGGGCUUAACCUGGGGAAUUGCAGUCGAUACUACUCAGCUAGAGUAUGGGAGAGGGCAGUGGAAUUCCCGGUGUAGCGGUGAAAUGCGUAGAUAUCGGGAGGAACAUCAGUGGCGAAGGCGGCUGCCUGGCCCAAUACUGACACUCAGGUGCGACAGCGUGGGAGCAACAGG